AUUGAACGCUAGCGGGAUGCCUUACACAUGCAAGUCGAACGGAGUGGCGAACGGGUGAGUAAUGUAUCGGAACGUGCCCAGUAGCGGGGGAUAACUACGCGAAAGCGUAGCUAAUACCGCAUACUAUUGGAGCGGCCGAUAUAGGAUUAGCUAGUUGGUGGGGUAACGGCCCAACAAGGCGACGAUCCGUAGCUGGUUUGAGAGGACGACCAGCAAAAGUGGGACUGAGACACGGCCCAGACUCCUACGGGAGGAAGCAGUGGGGAAUUUUGGACAAUGGGGGAACCCCUGGUCCAGCCAUCCCGCGUGUGCGAUGAAGGCCUGCGGGUUGUAAAGCACUUGUGGCAGGAAAGCGGUACAUGCAGAAUAAGCACCGGCUAACUACGUGCCAGCAGCGGCGGUAAUAC
rnacentral:rRNA from 1 species